CUACGGGGUGCAGCAGUAAGGAAUAUUGGGCAAUGGACGCAAGUCUGACCCAGCCAUGCCGCGUGCAGGAUGACAGCCCUACGGGUUGUAAACUGCUUUUAUAUGGGAAAAAUUCUUCCGACGUGUCGGAAGUCGAUGGUACCAUAUGAAUAAGCACCGGCUAACUCCGUGCCAGCAGCCGCGGUAAUACGGAGGGUGCAAGCGUUAUCCGGAUUUAUUGGGUUUAAAGGGUGCGCAGGCGGAAUGAUAAGUCAGUGGUGAAAUCCUACGGCUCAACUGUAGAACUGCCAUUGAUACUGUUGUUCUUGAGUACAGUUGUAGUGGGCGGAAUAUGUCAUGUAGCGGUGAAAUGCAUAGACAUGACAUAGAACACCGAUCACGAAGGCAGCUCACUAAGCUGAAACUGACGCUGAGGCACGAAAGCGUGGGGAGCAAACAGGAUUAGAUACCCGUGUAGUC
rnacentral:rRNA from 1 species